rnacentral:rRNA from 1 species
GCUCCAAUAGCGUAUAUUAAAGUUGUUGCAGUUAAAAAAGCUCGUAGUUGGAUUUCUGGCAGGAGCGACCGGUCACACACUCUGUGUGUGAACUUGCGUUGUCUCUGGCCAUCCUUGGGAAGAUCCUGUUUGGCAUUAAGUUGUCGGGCAGGGGAUACCAUCGUUUACUGUGAAAAAAUUAGAGUGUUUAAAGCAGGCUU